AAGUCGUAACAAGGUCUCCGUUGGUGAACCAGCGGAGGGAUCAUUACCGAGUUUACAACUCCCAAACCCAAUGUGAACGUUACCAAACUGUUGCCUCGGCGGGAUCUCUGCCCCGGGUGCGUCGCAGCCCCGGACCAAGGCGCCCGCCGGAGGACCAACCAAAACUCUUUUUGUAUACCCCCUCGCGGGUUUUUUUAUAAUCUGAGCCUUCUCGGCGCCUCUCGUAGGCGUUUCGAAAAUGAAUCAAAACUUUCAACAACGGAUCUCUUGGUUCUG
rnacentral:misc_RNA from 1 species